CGAAGAUCAAUGUGAUUGGUCGAAUCGAAAUCCAGGUUCAUACGCCAGGCGCAUGAGAUGUGCAAUAGUAGAUUGGAUCUACUACCGGGCCGGGAUUUUGCCGUGUUUGUGUGCUUCGGUAAAUCAGCCAUAACUUUUCGGUACAAUCUCAGAUCGGCGCGAAUUUUAUAUGAAAAUUGAUCUACAGAAAAAGUUACACAUGAAGUUCAACGGCUUUGCCGUUUUCAGCGAAAUUAGAUUUCCC
rnacentral:lncRNA from 1 species